rnacentral:rRNA from 1 species
GAAUCUGGGAGGACCAUCUCCUAAGGCUAAAUACUCUCUAGUGACCGAUAGUGAACCAGUACCGUGAGGGAAAGGUGAAAAGCACCCCGGAAGGGGAGUGAAAUAGAACCUGAAACCGUGUGCUUACAAGUAGUCAGAGCCCGUUAAUGGGUGAUGGCGUGCCUUUUGUAGAAUGAACCGGCGAGUUACGAUUUGAUGCAAGGUUAAGCAGUAAAUGUGGAGCCGUAGCGAAAGCGAGUCUGAAUAGGGCGUUUAGUAUUUGGUCGUAGACCCGAAACCAGGUGAUCUACCCUUGGUCAGGUUGAAGUUCAGGUAACACUGAAUGGAGGACCGAACCGACUUACGUUGAAAAGUGAGCGGAUGAACUGAGGGUAGCGGAGAAAUUCCAAUCGAACCUGGAGAUAGCUGGUUCUCUCCGAAAUAGCUUUAGGGCUAGCCUCAAGUGAUGAUUAUUGGAGGUAGAGCACUGUUUGGACG